rnacentral:rRNA from 1 species
AGUGAACGCUGGCGGCGUGCCUAAUACAUGCAAGUCGAACGGAGUGGCGCACGGGUGAGUAAUGUAUAGCUAAUCUUCCCUACACUAGAGGACAACAGUUGGAAACGACUGCUAAUACUCUAUAGUGUAGGAUGAGGCUAUAUUGUAUCAGCUAGUUGGUGAGGUAAUGGCGCACCAAGGCUAUGACGCAUAACUGGUCUGAGAGGAUGAUGCGUCACCCUGGAACGUAGGCACGGUCAAGGCUCCUACGGGAGGGGGCAGUAGGGAAUAGUGCUCAAUGGGGGAAACCCUGAAGCAGCAGCGGCGCGUGAAGGAUGACAAUUUUCGGAGCGUAAACUCGUUUUGAUAGGGAAGCGGUACCUAACGAAUAAGCACCGGCUAACUCCGUGCCAGCCGCCGCGGUAAUUC